rnacentral:lncRNA from 1 species
CGAAUCCAAAAAAGUUAAAAAGGCCAAAUAAAGUACGAAGUUGAAGAUUAUUGAGGACCAAAAUUCCUAAAAGUUUUGCCAAAUCUAGCUAAGGUAAUCUAUGCCUGCGGUAGAAAAGCCUUAGUAUUUCAAAAAUUCUAAAUUUUGUAAACAGUUAAUUUAUAAAUAUAACCAUAUCAAUGAUAAUUCAUGUCAGCACAAAAAGUGCUGACUACUGGGCUGGUGAUACCCUCGGGGAAAUAAAUCUCCACCAGCAGUGGCAUCGACCCAGUUGUUGUAAAUAAACUCAUCAUAGAUACCAGGACUAAAUUUUGUAUAUACGCCAGACGCGCGUUUCGUCUACAAAAGACUCGUCAGUGACGCUCGAAUCCAAAAAGGUUAAAAAGGCCAAAUAAAGUACGAAGUUGAAGAGCAUUGAGGACCAAAAUUCCUAAAAGUUUUGCCAAAUCCAGCUAAGGUAAUCUAUGCCUGAGGUAGAAAAGCCUUAGUUUUUCAAAAGUUCUGAAUUUUGUAAACAGUUAAUUUAUAAAUAUAACCAUAUCAAUGAUAAUUCAUGUCAGCACAAAAGUGCUGACUACUGGGCUGGUGAUA